rnacentral:rRNA from 1 species
UACGUAGGGGGCAAGCGUUGUCCGGAUUUAUUGGGCGUAAAGAGCGUGUAGGCGGUUUUACAGGUCCGCUGUGAAAACUCGAGGCUCAACCUCGAGCUGUCGGUGGAAACCGUAAGGCUAGAGUCCGGAAGAGGAGAGUGGAAUUCCUGGUGUAGCGGUGAAAUGCGCAGAUAUCGAGGAAGAACACCCGUGGCGAAGGCGGCUCUCUGGGACGGUAC